AACUAUGGAGGAAGAUUUUGAUAACUUUUUCUCAGGAAGGUCUGCUGUAUGUACUGGCAAAAUUUCAGAUCGCUCAGACUUUUCCCCUAGGAGGAGUUCAUCAUAGAUUUUGUACAGUUAACGCAUGAUGGCGCACUUCCUGUUGGGUGUAGAGCAUGGCUGUGAUUGACUUUUUUGUGUUUCCUGAUGUGCUGCAUAUGCCUCCCAAAUUUUUAGCUCUCGGCCAAAUUCCCUCCGAGUUGGCCUAAUACCACUUUUUAAAAUUUUGUAGGGGGCGCUAUGGAGCCAUUUUGUCAUACACUACCACAAUUCCUUUAGAAUAUAAAAUUUUUCACCAGUUCUGGUGUGUGUACAAAUUUUCAUGAGUUUUUGAGCAUGUUUAGGCCCUCAAAAAUGCAGUUGUUCUGAGAGACAAAUAAUAAUAAUAAUAAUAAUAAUAAUUAAAGCUGCGAGCAGCGUUGAACGGGUCCUCGCAUCCUUGCUGGUCGGCGACCCCAAGCAUGUCCACCAGGCAAUGCUGCGACAAAGUGUAUUUAGGCUCAUGGAUGUAACGAGGACUGGAUUCUGAGCACUCAGGUCAAAUUUCAGACAGAUUGGAGCAUGUACAGACUAUUUUUGCAGCACUUUGUGUCCAUCCACCAGGUGGCACUAUGUCUGUGACUGUAUAGUGGUCUAUGAAACUCAUCAGGACUGGACUCUGAUCAAACAUGUAAAGUUUGAGGUAGAUUACAGCAUGUACAGGGGAUUUACACAAGACGUCCUGCUUCAUGGCGUAACAUUAAAGUUCAGUUGGCCGCCAUGGCCAUGCCCUUUGAGUUUUGUGAACAAUUUUCGCAAAUAUGCAACCUGAAGGCGUUUCUUAUAUAUUUUCCCAAAUUCAGGUGUUUUGGAGUUAUUGCCAGUGACAAAUGAAUUGUUGAAAAUGACCAAAAACACCAAAAAUCUGACAUUUAAUUCAAAAUGGCUGACUUUCUGUUGUGUUUAGAGAAUGACUCCAAGAGACUUUUUUGCUUGCACUGAUGUGCUACAUAUGCAUGCCAAAUUUCAUAGUCAUAGGUGAAAGUCUGUGUGGAGGCUAUUUUUUAAAUUCUUUUAGGGGGCGCUAUGACACAUACUGUGGAUGUAUUUUGGCCUGUAAAUGUGAUCAGGACAGGACUGUGUUUAAUCAUGUGAGGUCUGAGGUAGAUUGGAGCAUGCAGAGGAUAGUUAGGUAGCACUUGAUGUUUCAUGGCGAACCAUCAAAAUUCUGGAGGUCGCCAUGUCCACACCCUUUGACUCUGCAAGAAGCCUUUGAUAACUUUUGAUCAUAACAUCGUGUUGUAUAUCCUGGCAAAAUUUCAGCUCUCUAGACCUUAACCCCGAGGAG